UAAGUAUAAGUAUUAGACGAUGCAUAUCUUAUCUUGCAGUAUUGCUUUAUUACUUUUUAUUAAUUUUUUAAAAAUUUAAUUAAACCUAUUUAGUUAUUCGUUGUAAUAAAUUUACACAGGUUGCAUUCGUACACCGUUAGAGUCUCGGUAGUUCCAUAUAAACAUUGACAAGACACAUCAAUAUUUUUAUUUUUUAUUUAUUAUUUAUCUUUUAACUGCAGCAAGCCGUGAAUACACGUGACAGUUUUUAUGGUAGUGCGGGUAAGUAACUAACGUGACGGAAUUUACAAUUUCUAGCUGCGCAUUAUGUACAAACGUUAGCACAUAAGCAUUUAAUGGUGUUGUUGUUGUUGUUGUUGUUGUUGUUGUUGUUUUAUAUUAUUAUUGUAAUUAUUAUUUGUACUUUGUUAGGUGUAUCUAAUAGAAGCAAUAAUCUCAUUGAUUUAUUUUAAAUUAUAUAAUUAUUAAUUAAUGUUUCAACCGACUGCGAGCUUGUUAGCAACCAAGGGAAAGUUAUAUUCUCUUAGGACCAACCGAAACGGAACGAAACCAACGCGGAACAAAAGUACAUAAAUAUAUCUAUAGAAACAUAUGCAGUGUAAAUAUAAUUGGUAAAUGACAAGAAAUUACUUCAUUAUUUAAGAAAAUAAAAAUAAUUAAAAAAACGAAAACUAAUCACUUUUGCUCUUGAAUUUGUUUUUUUUUUUUUUUAAUUUCAAUGGGAAGUUAGUUUCAUUAGUCAUUAAAUUGAAUUAAUAACUUGAAAAAACAAAAAUAACAUAGAAACACAACAACAAACAAUAAAAUCAAUCGCUCGUAUAGUUUUUUUGUCACUAUGUUUUAUGAGCAAUUGUAUAUGUACGUAAGAUGCAAACAUAUACGAAAAUGCAACGUUGAUAUUUUUUUCUUUUUUUGUUUAUACUUUUUUGCUUGUCUAUCAAUGACAAGUCACUGAGUCUCACCGAUGGUAGUGGCGGUGCAGUGAUGCAGCUUGAGUAACAUCCUCGAAGAUACGCCGAAGUGGCGUAAUGUCGCUAGGAAACAGUGGCGGUCUCCAUCGCCUGUGUAUGCUGGAAUCAUGCACAUUGCCAAUACCUGAAAGUUGCGUGAUGCACGCAAGGGGACCAAUUUUUUUUUCUCUUUCAAUCGAAUCGAGGAAAUGAAAUCUACUUGUUUAUAUUGAGUCCUGACCUAGGGUCGUGCCAGUGGACUCUUGGUCGUCCACAUUCUGCUGAUCAGAUGAUAAAUGCUGGUGAUUGAAUGAGC